rnacentral:rRNA from 1 species
AUUGAACGCUGGCGGCAGGCCUAACACAUGCAAGUCGAGCGGAUGAAGGGAGCUUGCUCCUGGAUUCAGCGGCGGACGGGUGAGUAAUGCCUAGGAAUCUGCCUGGUAGUGGGGGAUAACGUCCGGAAACGGGCGCUAAUACCGCAUACGUCCUGAGGGAGAAAGUGGGGGAUCUUCGGACCUCACGCUAUCAGAUGAGCCUAGGUCGGAUUAGCUAGUUGGUGGGGUAAAGGCCUACCAAGGCGACGAUCCGUAACUGGUCUGAGAGGAUGAUCAGUCACACUGGAACUGAGACACGGUCCAGACUCCUACGGGAGGCAGCAGUGGGGAAUAUUGGACAAUGGGCGAAAGCCUGAUCCAGCCAUGCCGCGUGUGUGAAGAAGGUCUUCGGAUUGUGAAGCACUUUAAGUUGGGAGGAAGGGCAGUAAGUUAAUACCUUGCUGCUUUGACGUUACCAACAGAAUAAGCACCGGCUAACUUCGUG